CAGGUUUAUUUUGGAAAUUUAUAGGGUUUUUUUAAAAAAAGCCGGUGCCAAUUAAUUAGGAACAGAGGGAGCAUGUACCUGCACUCAUACAACAUCAUGUAAUUUAGUUCCGCUAAUGCAAUACUAUAGUAAGCAAUUUCCCUUCACUUUCGUGAAGUAAUUCGAACGAGACCAAUUAUAUUAAGUUAUCAUUAUCGGUUAAAACACUAGGAUUAUCCACGACUGUCGAGUGAGCCAAUCAACCAUCCAAAACCUGAAUUUUGUGAAGUAAAAAACCUACUCCCUCUGUACCAAAUUAAAAUAAAACCGGGAUGGAAGAAUUAUCUAUUUUGGAUAUGUCAAAAACAAAACAAAUAUUUAAAUAAAAUUAAAUAGAAAAUAAAAACAAAGAAUCAUUUGUUAUACAAUUCUAGCUGCGCAAUCUGAGCAGGGCUAGUUUAGUUUAUUUUACAAAGAUGGUUGACAAAACUCCAUGGCGCAAUGAAGGGCACUAUUCCAUCCAGUACCUUGGAACUGGAAGCAUUGGCCCAGUACUAAUCCCUUCUUUGUUUUUCUCUUACUACACUUCACAAAGUAAAGAGGAGCAUUGCAACAUCACAACACAAAAUAAAAUGAGUAAAUUUCAAGGAACCACAUUUCUUGAGGCAGACUUUUCACAGAACCAUACUUUUCGAUAAUUUUCUCGCAGAACCACACUUCUUCAGACUAAUUUUCUCAGUUCACCCAAAACCAGUGUUUAAGCGCAUUUGACACUUUUCCUUACAGGUGGGGCCCACUAUCAGGUCCACCUCAUUUAUGCAUUUAGCCCCCGCAUAUUUUCAUAUUUAUUUUCUCCCCCUUUUUCUUCCUCUUCUCCGGCAGCCCUCGCUCCCCUUCAUCCCUCGUCCCCAGCCGGAGCGCCCACACGCACGCCAACGACACCGCCGUCUUCCCACCAAAAACUCUCCCGGUCUUCUCCCCAAGUUCCAUUUUAUGCAGCAGCUCCUGCUUAAAAAAAAGAGAGCAGAACCAAUUGUAUAGUUGCAGCCCGCGCGCUGCCAGCUUCGAUGCCCCGGCGACCUUCGCAGCUCGUUCGCCCGCAUAUAACGCGCCACCUUCCUCGAACCGAAGA
rnacentral:lncRNA from 1 species